UCCUGUCUUCGCAACUGACGGAAUCAAGGUGGGCACCACCGGGGAGCGAAGAAUAUAGAUGUAUGUCGACCGUCUGGGCAAGAUUG
rnacentral:ncRNA from 2 species